rnacentral:rRNA from 1 species
AUUGGACGCUGGCGGCAUGCCUUACACAUGCAAGUCGAACGGUAACAGGUCUUCGGAUGCUGACGAGUGGCGAACGGGUGAGUAAUACAUCGGAACGUGCCCGAUCGUGGGGGAUAACGAAGCGAAAGCUUUGCUAAUACCGCAUAAGAUCUACGGAUGAAAGCAGGGGACCGCAAGGCCUUGCGCGAACGGAGCGGCCGAUGGCAGAUUAGGUAGUUGGUGGGAUAAAAGCUUACCAAGCCGACGAUCUGUAGCUGGUCUGAGAGGACGACCAGCCACACUGGGACUGAGACACGGCCCAGACUCCUACGGGAGGCAGCAGUGGGGAAUUUUGGACAAUGGGCGAAAGCCUGAUCCAGCCAUGCCGCGUGCAGGAUGAAGGCCUUCGGGUUGCAAACUGCUUUUGUACGGAACGAAAAGACUCUUUCUAAUAAAGAGGGUCCAUGACGGUACCGUAAGAAUAAGCACCGGCUAACUACGUGCCAGCCGCCGCCGUAAUAC